rnacentral:tRNA from 1 species
GCUCUGGUAGCUCAGUAGGAUAGAGCGGCCGCCCCCUAAGCGGUAGGCCGUGGGUUCGAUUCCCACCCAGAGCG